rnacentral:lncRNA from 1 species
CCAGCCUGUCUGUCUGCCUUUUGCCAGGUCUGGUUGGUUGUCUCAGGCUCACUGCAGGCUUCCUCUCAUUCUUAGUGCUGGCUUCACUGUUCCAGCCCUCACGUCUAUUCCACUGUAAUCUGUGUGAGCAGCUCGUAGCUUUUGGGAUGAGACCUUUCUUCUUACUACUCAGAAGGAGCUGGCUUCUGCAUCAAUAUCUCUCUUUUAAUUCCUGAUGAACUCUCUGUAUUAUUUCUCGUUUUUAACUUUAGUAACUUUUUUUUUUUAUGUUUAUGCUUUUCCUUAUGUCUUCUACACGUUGCUCUCUUUUUUUUUUUUUUUUUCAGAGCUGGGGACCGAACCCAGGGCCUUGCGCUUCCUAGGCAAGCGCUCUACCACUGAGCCAAAUCCCCAGCCCCCUAACUUUAGUAACUUUUAAAUUAAAAAAAAAAAA